rnacentral:lncRNA from 1 species
CUGGCCGGAUGCAGGGCCAGUCGGGUGCUGCUCUUUGUGGAGCAGAGCUACAGUGGAGUCCUCAGCAAGAGACUGAUGGGAUCUCUCAAACACGUCAAUGUCGUGCUGCUGAACGGCUUGCCCUGGGUGCACACAGCUGAGUUCUGGGCCUCUCUGAACCCAUCAGAGUGCCUCAUAGACCACCUCAGUAAGCAGAGUUCUGCGAUGCCCCGACUGGCUGAUGCUGCUCUGGGACUGAUGAACGUGACUCUGGCCGGUGCUCCGUGCAACUCCACCCCUCCUCUCACCGAAGCCGAAAUGAGGAAGGAGUACAUGGGUUGCCAGAACCUCCCCACAGCUCUGUGGUACCAAAAACGGCCCAAGACCGACAACAGCAGGAAUUGAGCAAACUGACCGCUUCCAGGACUUUCAGAAGGACAAGAGCCAACUCUACUGUUCCCAAUCCGUAAUUCGGACACUCCAGUGGAGUACUUCCAUGAAAAACAAGUACCAACGAGUAGUCCUAGAAGUAUGACUUUGUAUAAUGCACAAACUUGAAAUCCAUGACCAGCGCUUUCCUCUCACAAACACAGAGACACACACACUCUACCUGUGUGUGCGCACUUAAUUCACCCAGUGAUGCACAUAGACCCUGACAAGCUGUUGAGGAACGGAGACUACAUAAUGUGUGCUUAAGAGAUCGAAAGAAGAGGCGGUAAUGCAGGACAGAGAGAGAGAAAGCGUCUGACAUGUCCUCACUUUGAACCUCAUUUCCCCUGCUUGCCGCUCCGUAGAAGGCGUCCCAUGGGGAGCGUCCCAUGCGAACUUCUCCUCUCUCCGCCUGCCAUGGGGGUUCAGCGCAGGGGCAUCCGCGCUCCUUUACCAGAGUGCUCUUCCGUGGGUCAUCGCACAGGGCGCGCCUGGAACUGAACAAUGGUGACAAGGCCACUCUGAAACACACCUCACAGUCACUUGAACAGUUCAGGACAAAUCUCCUUGUCCUUUCUUCAGCUCAGUAAGGGACAGGGCGGUCCAGCAUGAUUUAGUAAUGAGAAAUGUUCCCUCACCAUGUCUGGACUCUAGCAGACACUGGGCUCUGCAAGCAUGUAUUUAAUUCAGACCUCUUAUUCCACACUGUAUUAACCACUCUGUCCACAGUGUUCGCUUAUCUCCGCAAACAUUUAAUCGCCAGCCGCCGAUAAUGUUGACAGUGACGAGAAGGUAUUAGCUCCUGUGGGAAUUCAUACACAUUCUUCAGAAAUUACAGACAGUAGGACGAUAUUUUUCUGCAGCG